GUGCCAGCAGCCGCGGUAAUACAGAGGGUGCAAGCGUUGUUCGGAAUCAUUGGGCGUAAAGGGCGCGUAGGCGGUGUUGUAAGUCGGAUGUGAAAGCCCACAGCUUAACUGUGGAAGUGCAUUCGAAACUGCGACACUGGAGUCUCGGAGAGGGUGGUGGAAUUCCCAGUGUAGAGGUGAAAUUCGUAGAUAUUGGGAGGAACAUCGGUGGCGAAGGCGACCACCUGGCUGAAGACUGACGCUGAGGCGCGAAAGCGUGGGGAUCAAACAGGAUUAGAUACCCUGGUAGUCCACGCCGUAAACGAUGGGUACUCGCCGUUAUGGGUAUUGACCCCUGUAGUGGCUAAGCUAACGCAUUAAGUACCCCGCCUGGGAAGUACGGCCGCAAGGCUAAA
rnacentral:rRNA from 1 species